CACCUCCCCACCUGCCAACCAAAUAUAGCUCUCUGCCCAUGAGUCUCAAUUCAUCAAGAGACUGUCCCUCUAUCUACACAACCAUGUAAGCCAAAGACACAAGACACAUCAUGGAUGUCUUUCCUUGUCUCCAAUCAACAACCAAACAGCAGUGGAUUUACCAAGGUCGUCCAGUCCCGUCUUCAUCUACUCGACCGAUGUACCCUUCGAACCCAAGCUCAAGAAUUCUUUUUCCAUGUAUGUAUUCAGUCAGAAGUGAGGCACUGUUGUACGUCCCGUGGAUACAGAAGGUGAAAAGGCUGCAGACGCCUCCCGGCACACUAAAUACCCACACCAGCAAGAUGGGGCUGCUUUGCGUACUCUGGGGAAGCUGAUGAAAAUAUCUGUCAAAAUCUGAAGUCAGAACCUACAUGUUGCAUAACCACCUUCUAAUAAACUCCCAGACCCUCU